rnacentral:tRNA from 1 species
GGAGUUAUGGUGUAAUGGUAGCACACUAGACUUUGACUCUGGUGGUUAAGGUUCAAAUCCUUAUAACUCUGCCA